rnacentral:lncRNA from 10 species
CCUGAGUCUCGGUUUUCUUAUCUAUGAAAUGAGGCUAAGAAUAAUAAAAUAGAGAAUUAAAUGAGAUAAUGCCUGUAAACAGUGCCUGGCAUAUAGCUUAUUAUUCAUCCAGCUAAGAGGCCCUUCCAUAUGUGAAGCUUUGCUCUGUGAGGUCUGUAUUACAAUCACAUUCAGUUAUAGCUAAUUAUUUACUUAUGUAGCUAUCUCUGAAACUUAGAAAUGAAAUCAUCGAGGAAAAAGGCCAUUUCUUGAUCCUGUCUGUGUUCCCUGUUCCCAGCAUAAAGCCUAACACGUAUUAGGCUAAUGUCACCGAGCAAAGAAAGCAUCAAAGUGGCGGGUCGGGCCCUAAACCCACGAUGGGAGAUACCACAUUCGGCCACAAGAGGGCGCGUCACAUUUUCUCCAAGAGAAGCUGGGCCGCUGAUGAAGGACGGGCUCCGGGCCUCCCAGAGACACUUCACCUCCUGGGAUCUUGCUCUAAGGAAGCCCGGUGCGAAGGAGGUGGCUUUCUCAGGUGGUCGCGCUAGAUGUCCAAGGCUUUAUGUUCGGUCAGAUGAGCUGUAUAAUAAAAUGAAAGUGUUAA